rnacentral:antisense_RNA from 2 species
UGUGGGAGCGGGCUUGCUCGCGAAAGCGCCGUGUCAGGCAACGUAUUGGUUACUGACAGAUUGCUUUCGCGAGCAAGCCCGCUCCCACA